rnacentral:rRNA from 1 species
GACGAACGCUGGCGGCGUGCUUAACACAUGCAAGUCGAACGGUGAAGCGCCUUCCUUUUUGGUUGGUGUGGAUGAGUGGCGAACGGGUGAGUAACACGUGAGUAACCUGCCCCCUUCUUCUGGAUAACCGCAUGAAAGUGUGGCUAAUACGGGAUCUUCUGGUUCUGUCGCAUGAUGGGUCUGUGAAAGAUAUUGUUUCGGUGGUGGAUGGGCUCGCGGCCUAUCAGGUUGUUGGGGGGGUGAUGGCCUACUAAGGCGGUGACGGGUAGCCGGCCUGAGAGGGUGGACGGUCACACUGGGAGUGAGACACCGCCGAGACUCCUACGGGAGGCAGCAGUGGAGAAGAGUGCACAAUGGGGGCAAGGGUGAUGCAGCGGGGACGCGGGAGGGAUGGAGGCCUUCGGGUUGUGAACCUCUUUCGCCAGUGAAGCAGGCCUGCCUCGUUUGUGGGUGGGUUGACGGUAGCUGGAUAAGAAGCGCCGGCUAACUACGUG